rfam:Salmo salar isolate Sally breed double haploid chromosome ssa17, whole genome shotgun sequence.
UGUAUUCACUACUGUAAUCGCUCUGGAUAAGAGCAUCUGCUAAAUGACUCAAA